UGGGGAAUUUUGGACAAUGGGCGCAAGCCUGAUCCAGCCAUGCCGCGUGUCUGAAGAAGGCCUUCGGGUUGUAAAGGACUUUUGUCAGGGAAGAAAAGGCUGUCGCUAAUACCGACAGUUGAUGACGGUACCUGAAGAAUAAGCACCGGCUAACUACGUGCCAGCAGCCGCGGUAAUACGUAGGGUGCGAGCGUUAAUCGGAAUUACUGGGCGUAAAGCGAGCGCAGACGGUUACUUAAGCAGGAUGUGAAAUCCCCGGGCUCAACCUGGGAACUGCGUUCUGAACUGGGUGACUAGAGUGUGUCAGAGGGAGGUAGAAUUCCACGUGUAGCAGUGAAAUGCGUAGAGAUGUGGAGGAAUACCGAUGGCGAAGGCAGCCUCCUGGGAUAACACUGACGUUCAUGCUCGAAAGCGUGGGUAGCAAACAGGAUUAGAUACCCUGGUAGUCCACGCCCUAAACGAUGUCAAUUAGCUGUUGGGCAACUUGAUUGCUUAGUAGCGUAGCUAACGCGUGAAAUUGACCGCCUGGGGAGUACGGUCGCAAGAUUA
rnacentral:rRNA from 1 species